AUUGAACGCUGGCGGCAGGCCUAACACAUGCAAGUCGAGCGGAUGAAGGGAGCUUGCUCCUGGAUUCAGCGGCGGACGGGUGAGUAAUGCCUAGGAAUCUGCCUGGUAGUGGGGGAUAACGUCCGGAAACGGGCGCUAAUACCGCAUACGUCCUGAGGGAGAAAGUGGGGGAUCUUCGGACCUCACGCUAUCAGAUGAGCCUAGGUCGGAUUAGCUAGUUGGUGGGGUAAAGGCCUACCAAGGCGACGAUCCGUAACUGGUCUGAGAGGAUGAUCAGUCACACUGGAACUGGGACACGGUCCAGACUCCUACGGGAGGCAGCAGUGGGGAAUAUUGGACAAUGGGCGAAAGCCUGAUCCAGCCAUGCGGCGUGUGUGAGGAAGGUCUUCGGAUUGUAAAGCACUUUAAGUUGGGAGGAAGGGCAGUAAGUUAAUACCUUGCUGUUUUGACGUUACCAACAGAAUAAGCACCGGCUAACUUCGUG
rnacentral:rRNA from 1 species